GACGAACGCUGGCGGCGUGCUUAAUACAUGCAAGUCGAACGGAAAGACGCUGCUUUUGUGGGGUGCUCGAGUGGCGAACGGGUGAGUAACACGUGAGUAAACUGCACUUGACUUUGGGAUAACUUCAGGAAACUGGGGCUAAUACAGCAUAGGAGAUCUUGCUGCAUGGUGGGGGUUGGAAAGAUUCGGCGGUUGUGUAUGGACUAGAGGGGUCUUAGCUAGUUGGUAGGGUAGUGGCUUAAAAAGGCUUUGACGGGUAGCCGGCCUGAGCGGGUGAUCGGCCACACUGGAACUGAGACACGGUCCAGACUCCUACGGGAGGCAGCAGUAGGGAAUCUUACGCAAUGGGCGAAAGCCUGACGGAGCAACGCCGAGUGAGUGAUGAAGGUCUUCGGAUCGUAAUACUCUGUUAUGAGGGAAGAACAACUGUGUAAGUAAAUAUGCACGUCUUGACGGUAACUAAUCAGAAAGCCCCGGCUAACUACGUG
rnacentral:rRNA from 1 species